AGCUCCUCCAAUCAGGGGCUCUUCUAAUCAGCAUGUGCCGAGCUCCUCCAAUCACAGCUCGGCACAUGUUCAUCUGACCCUAUUGCUGAUAUCAGGGAGGAGGAGACGAGAGGCACCGCAGUGAGAUGCAGGGACUUCCCCUGCUGCUGCUGUCACACUGCGGAUUGGCAUCCCUGCGAGACUGGAGGUUCACAGAUGCACAGUGUAGGCUUAAUGGUCCAUUAUCAGCAAAGAUAUGGCAUUAAAAGCCCACUACAGAACAGAUCUCCUUGUCAAACACUAAGGGACACAGAGGGGCGGCACGGUCACAUGUCAUCUGACCAUGCCAGG